rfam:Planktothrix agardhii NIVA-CYA 126/8 chromosome, whole genome shotgun sequence.
AAGUAGAUGCACCCUGAUGGUUUCCUUCAACUUAGGUUGGGGGAAUUUUUUU